rnacentral:lncRNA from 1 species
GUCCUCAUUGCUUCAUUCUCUGCUUACAACAUGCAGCAGCUUCCACUGCGACUUUUUUCCCUCUGCGUGACCGCAGUCCUGCUGAGGCUCUGCUGCUCUGAUGUGCAGGGCUAUGAUGACUAUGAAACUCCAACUCCAGGAUAUGAUUAUAACAUAACCUUUGAGUACUACGAGUAUGGUGAAUAUGAGGGGUUUCAGGUGCUACAGCCUGCAAACGGGGUUGAAAAUGAAAGCGUGGGAAAUGAGGCCACAGUCUCUGUGCUCCUCAGAGCUCCACUCAUCCUCAGCUUGGCAGCACACCAACUCAUUCAGAUGUUAUGAAUGGUAUUAAAUGUUCUGGAAGUUUCUUAGAUCAGUCCUGAUCUGAAUAAGGACCUGGGUGACCAGAGGGACGGGAGUUUGUAUCUAUAAGAUCGAUUGGACCCAUCACCAACUCUCCAUUCCGUGACACACUUCAGAGAAAAGGCAACAGCCAGAAAUCUGUUUAAAGUUUUUUGUGUCAGAAUGUGCAAGUACAGCAGGUGCUGAGUAAGGUCCCACAAAGAAACCUUACUAGUUAAUACUAUAGUUUACUGCUGCUGCAAUAUGACAAACUUUCUUUUAUUGAGAGGAUCAUAUAUUUUUAAUUCCCCAGUAUCGGGAAAGGUGCAAUUGCACGUUCACAUGUGAGACAUAUUUAGUCUCUCUUACCUGACUUGUCUGAAUAUCUUCAACUUUUAGAUGUAGAUAUGACAACUUUCAUUGAAUCACAUACUUUAGAAAACAGUGCACUUCAAUAUAUAUCAUUCUUUGUUUUUACACUGACAGGGCAGCUGUCCUUUUUGGAUGUUGCUUCCAUGCUCUGUAAAAACCAUGCGUCAAACAAACCAGUUCUGAAGUUUGUUGACACUUCUGAUGUAAAAAACAUAUGCAAUUAUUUUUGUGAGCACCUGCUUACAGGCAGUACAUGUUGUUUAUAUUCUUUAUUAAAGAAUAACAACAGUAAUAACAAAAACGUUGUUUAUAUUCUUUAAUAAAUGCAUUCAUUUGAGUUUUUUUAUUUUUUAA